GGCACUAUACUUUAUUUUAAAAGGUCUGAUUUGCAUUUAGAAAAUGAAAAUGUAUUUUUCUGGUGCCA
rnacentral:tRNA from 1 species